UACGGAGGGGGCUAGCGUUGUUCGGAAUCACUGGGCGUAAAGCGCACGUAGGCGGCUUUGCAAGUCAGGGGUGAAAUCCCGGGGCUCAACCUCGGAACUGCCUUUGAUACUGCGAAGCUUGAGUCCGAUAGAGGUGGGUGGAAUUCCUAGUGUAGAGGUGAAAUUCGUAGAUAUUAGGAAGAACACCGGUGGCGAAGGCGGCCCACUGGAUCGGUACUGACGCUGAGGUGCGAAAGCGUGGGGAGCAAACAGG
rnacentral:rRNA from 1 species